UGCGGCCAUUCGCUCUUUCUGUCAGUCCAGGAUUCCUGAAUAGGAGGGUGCCACACUUAAGGUGAGGGUGGUGGAUCAAGGUUAAGACCUGCAGAGAACAACAAAGAAGUAAAAGAGGGACGGAAAGACACGGUUAGACGAAAGAUACCUCGUCUAUCCAGCAAGGAUGGAGAACUCUCACAUGAAGCUCCCGGCGGAGUGCCUGACGCACUUUGGGGUGAACGAGAUCACCGGUCUCACCCCCGACCAGUUCAAGAAGAACCUGGACAAAUAUGGCUAUAAUGAGUUGCCGGCUGAGGAGGGUAAGAGCAUCUGGGAGCUGAUCAUGGAGCAGUUCGAGGACCUGCUCGUCAGGAUCCUGCUGCUGGCUGCCUGCAUCUCUUUUGUGCUGGCCUGGUUCGAGGAAGGCGAGGAGACCAUCACCGCCUUCGUGGAGCCCUUCGUCAUCCUUCUUAUCCUGAUCGCCAAUGCCAUCGUCGGAGUAUGGCAGGAACGUAACGCUGAAGACGCCAUUGAGGCUCUUAAGGAGUAUGAGCCUGAGUUGGGCAAGGUCUACCGUUCUGACAGAAAGAGUGUGCAGAUAAUCAAGGCCAGAGAAAUUGUCCCUGGAGAUAUUGUGGAGGUGUCCGUUGGUGACAAAGUCCCCGCUGACAUCAGGCUUGUUUCAAUCAAGUCCACCACCCUGCGUGUUGACCAGUCCAUCCUUACUGGUGAGUCCGUCAGUGUGAUCAAACACACUGAGGCCGUCCCAGACCCCAGAGCUGUCAACCAGGACAAGAAGAACAUGCUUUUCUCUGGCACCAACAUCGCUGCUGGCAAGGCCAUCGGUGUGGCUGUGUCCACCGGAGUCUCCACUGAGAUUGGCAAGAUCCGUGACCAGAUGGCCUCCACCGAGCAGGAGAAGACUCCUCUGCAGGCCAAGAUGGACGAGUUCGGCGAGCAGCUGUCCAAGGUCAUCUCCCUGAUCUGCGUUGCUGUCUGGGCCAUCAACAUUGGCCACUUCAACGACCCCGUCCACGGAGGCUCAUGGAUCCGUGGCGCCGUCUACUACUUCAAGAUCGCUGUCGCUCUGGCCGUGGCUGCCAUCCCUGAGGGUCUGCCCGCUGUCAUCACCACCUGCCUGGCCCUCGGUACCCGCCGUAUGGCUAAGAAGAACGCCAUCGUCAGAAGCCUGCCCUCUGUGGAGACCCUUGGCUGCACCUCCGUCAUCUGCUCUGACAAAACUGGCACCCUCACCACCAACCAGAUGUGUGUGACCAAGAUGUUCAUUGUCAAGAAUGUUGAUGGCGAGCAUGUUGACCUUGAUGCCUUCGAUAUCUCUGGAUCUAAGUACACCCCCGAGGGCGACGUUUCCCAGGGAGGUGCCAAGACCAACUGCAGUGCUUACGACGGUCUUGUUGAGCUGUCCACCAUCUGCUCCCUGUGCAACGACUCAUCUCUGGAUUACAACGAGACCAAGAAGAUCUUUGAGAAGGUCGGUGAGGCUACUGAGACCGCCCUGUGCUGCCUGGUUGAGAAGAUGAACGUGUUCAACAGCAACGUGAAGAACCUGUCCAAGAUUGAUAGAGCCAACGCCUGCUGCUCCGUGAUCAAGCAGCUCAUGAAUAAGAAGUUCACCCUGGAGUUCUCCCGUGACAGGAAGUCCAUGUCUGUGUACUGCACCCCAAGCAAGGGUGACGGUGGCGCCAAGAUGUUCGUGAAGGGUGCCCCCGAGGGUGUGAUUGACAGGUGCGCAUAUGUGCGUGUUGGCACCACCCGCGUGCCCCUGACCAACGCCAUCAAGGAUAAGAUCCUGGCUGUCAUCAAAGACUGGGGUUGCGGCCGUGACACCCUGCGUUGUCUGGCCCUGGCCACAUGCGACUCCCCACUGAAGCCAGAGGAGAUGGUCCUUGAGGACUCUACCAAGUUCGCCAACUACGAGACUGAUAUGACCUUUGUUGGCUGCGUGGGUAUGCUGGAUCCCCCCCGUAAGGAGGUCAUGGGCUCCAUUGUGCAGUGCAGAGAGGCUGGAAUCCGUGUCAUUAUGAUCACUGGUGAUAACAAGGGAACCGCCAUCGCUAUCUGCCGCCGCAUUGGCAUCUUCACCGAGAACGAGGAUGUUUCCGACAAGGCCUACACCGGACGUGAGUUUGACGAUCUGCCCAGCAGUGAACAGGGAGAGGCCGUGCGCAGGGCUUGCUGCUUUGCCCGUGUGGAGCCAGCCCACAAGUCCAAGAUUGUGGAGUUCCUGCAGAGUUACGAUGAUAUUACUGCUAUGACUGGUGAUGGUGUGAACGAUGCCCCUGCCCUGAAGAAGGCCGAGAUCGGCAUCGCCAUGGGCUCUGGCACUGCUGUUGCCAAGUCUGCCUCUGAGAUGGUCCUGGCUGACGACAACUUCUCUUCCAUUGUGGCUGCUGUUGAGGAGGGCAGAGCCAUCUACAACAACAUGAAGCAGUUCAUCCGCUACCUCAUCUCCUCCAACGUUGGUGAGGUCGUCUGUAUCUUCCUGACUGCCGCCCUCGGUCUGCCCGAGGCCCUGAUCCCCGUCCAGCUGCUGUGGGUCAACCUGGUGACUGACGGUCUGCCCGCCACCGCUCUGGGCUUCAACCCCCCUGAUCUGGACAUCAUGGGCAAGCCCCCACGUUCCGCCAAGGAGCCCCUGAUCUCUGGCUGGCUGUUCUUCAGAUACAUGGCUAUCGGUGGAUACGUCGGUGCCGCCACUGUCGGUGGUGCUGCCUGGUGGUUCAUGUACGAUAGCACUGGUCCCGGAGUCACCUACUACCAGCUGUCCCACUUCAUGCAGUGCUGCGAUGACAACGAGGACUUCGCCGGCCUGGACUGCCACAUCUUUGAAGCCUCUCCUCCCAUGACCAUGGCCCUGUCUGUGCUGGUCACCAUUGAGAUGUGCAACGCCCUCAACAGCUUGUCUGAGAAUCAGUCUCUGCUGCGCAUGCCCCCAUGGAGCAACUUCUGGCUGCUUUCCGCCAUGACCCUCUCCAUGUCCCUUCACUUCAUGAUCAUCUAUGUUGACCCCCUGCCCAUGAUCUUCAAGUUGACCCAUCUGAGUGUUGAGCAGUGGCUCAUGGUCCUGAAGCUUUCCUUCCCCGUCAUCUUAAUUGAUGAGGUCCUGAAGUUCGCCGCCCGUAACUACGUUGAGAAGUAAAUUCAAUCAACCCACCAACAUUAGCCUAUAACUAAACCAAGUGAGAUGCCUCAGCAGAAGGCAAACAACAUUAAUAGAGAUGUAGAAGAAGAGGAUCUUAAUGGUUGGAGAGAAAGAGGUGGAGAAGGAGAGAGAGAGGAGAAGAAGAUCACAACCAAAGAGGGGAGCCAUAGUGAGCCAACCCAAAGAAGAGGAGAAAACACAAGAAAACAUACCAAAAAAAAAAAAAAAAAAAUUCAUCAAAAAACACAAAACAUAAAAAUAGCCUCUAUAUAAGGAAGGAGAUUUAAUUAAAAUGAAGGGAAGUAUCCAUACAGAUAAAAAUAUUUAAGAUUUUAUUCUAAGAAAUAAAGUAUGUAUUAAAAGUGAUUUUUUUGUUAAACUUG